rnacentral:rRNA from 1 species
UACGUAGGCAGCGAGCGUUGUUCGGAGUUACUGGGCGUAAAGGGUGUGUAGGCGGUUGUUUAAGUUUGGUGGGAAAUCUCCCGGCUCAACUGGGAGGGUGCGCCGAAUACUGAAUGACUUGGAGUGCGGGAGAGGAGAGUGGAAUUCCUGGUGUAGCGGUGAAAUGCGAAGAUAUCAGGAGGAACACCGGUGGUGUAGACGGCUCUCUGGACCGUAACUGACGCUGAGACGCGAAAGCGUGGGGAGCGAACAGG